rnacentral:piRNA from 1 species
UGGGAUCUUUGAAGGAAAGUCCAUUUCAAAU